UGAACAUAUCUCUGUGUGGCUCUAUUUGUU
rnacentral:piRNA from 1 species